rnacentral:rRNA from 1 species
GACGAACGCUGGCGGCGUGCUUAACACAUGCAAGUCGAACGGAAAGGCCCUGCUUUUGUGGGGUGCUCGAGUGGCGAACGGGUGAGUAACACGUGAGUAACCUGCCCUUGACUUUGGGAUAACUUCAGGAAACUGGGGCUAAUACCGGAUAGGAGCUCCUGCUGCAUGGUGGGGGUUGGAAAGUUUCGGCGGUUGGGGAUGGACUCGCGGCUUAUCAGCUUGUUGGUGGGGUAGUGGCUUACCAAGGCUUUGACGGGUAGCCGGCCUGAGAGGGUGACCGGCCACAUUGGGACUGAGAUACGGCCCAGACUCCUACGGGAGGCAGCAGUGGGGAAUAUUGCACAAUGGGCGGAAGCCUGAUGCAGCAACGCCGCGUGCGGGAUGACAGCCUUCGGGUUGUAAACCGCUUUCGCCUGUGACGAAUCGUGAGUGACGGUAAUGGGUAAAGAAGCACCGGCUAACUACGUGCCAGCAGCCGCGGUGAUACGUAUGGCGCGAGCGUUGUCCGGAUUUAUUGUGCGUAAAAGGCUCCUAAGUGGUUGAUCGCGUCGGAAGUGUAAUCUUGGGGCUUAACCCUGAGCGUGCUUUCGAUACGGGUUGACUUGAGGAAGGUAGGGGAGAAUGGAAUUCCUGGUGGAGCGGUGGAAUGCGCAGAUAUCAGGAGGAACACCAGUGGCGAAGGCGGUUCUCUGGGCCUUUCCUGACGCUGAGGAGCGAAAGCGUGGGGAGCGAACAGGCUUAGAUACCCUGGUAGUCCACGCUGUAAACGGUGGGUACUAGGUGUGGGGUCCAUUCCACGGGUUCCGUGCCGUAGCUAACGCUUUAAGUACCCCGCCUGGGGAGUACGGCCGCAAGGCUAAAACUCAAAGGAAUUGACGGGGCCCCGCACAAGCGGCGGAGCAUGCGGAUUAAUUCGAUGCAACGCGUAGAACCUUACCUGGGUUUGACAUGGAUCGGGAGUGCUCAGAGAUGGGUGUGCCUCUUUUGGGGUCGGUUCACAGGUGGUGCAUGGCUGUCGUCAGCUCGUGUCGUGAGAUGUUGGGUUAAGUCCCGCAACGAGCGCAACCCUUGUUCACUGUUGCCAGCACGUUAUGGUGGGGACUCAGUGGAGACCGCCGGGGUCAACUCGGAGGAAGGUGGGGAUGACGUCAAGUCAUCAUGCCCCUUAUGUCCAGGGCUUCACGCAUGCUACAAUGGCUGGUACAGAGAGUGGCGAGCCUGUGAGGGUGAGCGAAUCUCGGAAAGCCGGUCUCAGUUCGGAUUGGGGUCUGCAACUCGACCUCAUGAAGUCGGAGUCGCUAGUAAUCGCAGAUCAGCAACGCUGCGGUGAAUACGUUCCCGGGGCU